UACGAAGGGGGCUAGCGUUGUUCGGAUUUACUGGGCGUAAAGCGCACGCAGGCGGUCAAUUAAGUCAGAUGUGAAAGUCCCGAGCUUAACUUGGGAAUUGCAUCUGAAACUGGUUGGCUAGAGUCUUGUAGAGGGGGGUAGAAUUCCAUGUGUAGCGGUGGAAUGCGUAGAGAUCUGGAGGAAUACCGGUGGCGAAGGCGGCCCCCUGGACGAAGACUGACGCUCAGGUGCGAAAGCGUGGGGAGCAAACAGG
rnacentral:rRNA from 1 species